rnacentral:lncRNA from 1 species
UGGUAUCAGGCCAUUUUCACAGGGGCUGUUGGAGGGUUGACAGCACAGCUCUACUGGACCAGGGAGGGUCCCAGCCAGCAGGGCCUGCCCCUCCGAAACUGUCCCUGUCCCUGUCCCUGAGAGGCCCCACUGAGUGUCAGAUGGCACAUAAGAGAUUUCCUUAUGCGUUGGUGUGAAGGAGAUGAUCAGUUCCAGGAGGCCCCUCCCCCAUGCAGAAGAGAAGAAAAUGGAAGAAACCGGGUUCUCAGAGUGGCCUGCGGAUGUGAAAUUCCCAGAGGUGUGAAACACAGCAGAUCCUUUACAGCACGAUGACAGGACACAGCAUGAGCCUACCUCUGCCAGGUGAGAGGAGCUUUCUGCAACCUGUGAUGGGCUCAAGGAUGCUGACCAUUCAUCCGCCCAUUGGGAUAGCCCAGGCUCUGAGCUCAG